rnacentral:rRNA from 1 species
AAGCAUAUCAAUAAGCGGAGGAAAAGAAACCAACAGGGAUUGCCCCAGUAACGGCGAGUGAAGCGGCAACAGCUCAAAUUUGAAAUCUGGCCCCUCGGGGUCCGAGUUGUAAUUUGUAGAGGAUGCUUUUGGUGAGGUGCCGCCCGAGUUCCCUGGAACGGGACGCCACAGAGGGUGAGAGCCCCGUCUGGCUGGCCACCGAGCCUCUGUAAAGCUCCUUCGACGAGUCGAGUAGUUUGGGAAUGCUGCUCAAAAUGGGAGGUAUAUGUCUUCUAAAGCUAAAUAUUGGCCAGAGACCGAUAGCGCACAAGUAGAGUGAUCGAAAGAUGAAAAGCACCUUGAAAAGAGGGUUAAAUAGUACGUGAAAUUGUUGAAAGGGAAGCGCUUGUGACCAGACUUGGGCGCGGCGGAUCAUCCGGGGUUCUCUCCGGUGCACUUCGCCGCGUCUAGGCCAGCAUCAGUUCGUCGCGGGGGAAAAAGGUUUCGGGAACGUGGCUCCUCCGGGAGUGUUAUAGCCCGUUGCAUAAUACCCUGCGGUGGACUGAGGACCGCGCAUCUGCAAGGAUGCUGGCGUAAUGGUCACCAGCGACCCGUCUUGAAACACGGACCAAGGAGUCGUCUUCGUAUGCGAGUGUUCGGGUGUCAAACCCCUACGCGUAAUGAAAGUGAACGCAGGUGAGAGCUUCGGCGCAUCAUCGACCGAUCCUGAUGUUCUCGGAUGGAUUUGAGUAAGAGCAUACGGGGCCGGACCCGAAAGAAGGUGAACUAUGCCUGUAUAGGGUGAAGCCAGAGGAAACUCUGGUGGAGGCUCGCAGCGGUUCUGACGUGCAAAUCGAUCGUCAAAUAUGGGCAUGGGGGCGAAAGACUAAUCGAACCUUCUAGUAGCUGGUUUCCGCCGAAG